AUGUUGAUGUUACAGCCAGAACCUCAGAAACAGCUUGAGAACUUGUGUAGCCUGACUUUUCUAGUGGAUCAAUCUCUUCAAAAACAAGAUCAAUGGAGCAUCCAUGUCAUUGCAAAGGUAGAAGUGACGUUUUCACCCUGCCUGGAAUAAAGCAAGAGCAGUGCGUGUGUCCGUGCUGAGCUUUACCCGCCCUGGCGUGACUGCAGAUCCUGUCCUGUCCCACCCCAUCAUCCCGAGCGAACAGCCUCCGGCCCAUUU
rnacentral:lncRNA from 1 species